AACGAACGCUGGCGGCAGGCUUAACACAUGCAAGUCGAACGCGUCCUUGUGGCGCGUGGCGCACGGGUGAGUAACGCGUGGGAACGUACCGUUUAGUAGGGAAUAACUCCGGGAAACUGGUGACAAUACCCUAUACGCCCUCAGGGGGAAAGAUUUAUCGCUAAACGAUCGGCCCGCGUGAGAUUAGCUUGUUGGUGAGGUAAUGGCUCACCAAGGCGACGAUCUCUAGCUGGUCUGAGAGGAUGAUCAGCCACACUGGGACUGAGACACGGCCCAGACUCCUACGGGAGGCAGCAGUGAGGAAUAUUGGACAAUGGGGGAAACCCUGAUCCAGCCAUGCCGCGUGAAUGAUGAAGGCCUUAGGGUUGUAAAGUUCUUUCGCUGGUGAAGAUAAUGACGGUAACCAGUAAAGAAGCCCCGGCUAACUUCGUGCCAGCCGCCGCGGUAA
rnacentral:rRNA from 1 species